rnacentral:rRNA from 1 species
AUUGAACGCUGGCGGCAUGCCUUACACAUGCAAGUCGAACGGCAGCACGGGAGCAAUCCUGGUGGCGAGUGGCGAACGGGUGAGUAAUAUAUCGGAACGUGCCCGGUCGUGGGGGAUAACGUAGCGAAAGCUACGCUAAUACCGCAUACGAUCUACGGAUGAAAGCGGGGGAUCGCAAGACCUCGCGCGAUUGGAGCGGCCGAUAUCAGAUUAGGUAGUUGGUGAGGUAAAGGCUCACCAAGCCGACGAUCUGUAGCUGGUCUGAGAGGACGACCAGCCACACUGGGACUGAGACACGGCCCAGACUCCUACGGGAGGCAGCAGUGGGGAAUAUUGGACAAUGGGCGAAAGACCUGAUCCAGCAAUGCCGCGUGAGUGAUGAA